GUAGCAUGUCGGCAGUCCAAUGUGUGGUGUGGAGCAGAGGGAGCAAGCAAAAUAUCAUGUCGGCAGCCAAACGUGAUACUAUUAUUGAUCAGCUGAUGAAAUCAGACUAAGCCGAACAGAGCGAAUACCGGCCAGCAGAACUAGGUGAGAGGAAGCAAAGCAAGGCAUUUUUCUACAGCCUACUUUCCCCUUCCUGCUACAGUUGGGAGCAGACGAAAAAGGGCGGAGGCCUGGCGACCUUGGUUUCCGGCGGCGAUUCCACCGGCCCCCUCCCCCUCCCCCUCCGACGGUCGUGUGGCCGUCGGAGGGGAAGGAGGGCCGGGGAAUUGGCGUGCGGGUGUUUAUAGACUAGAUAGGUUAGUGUCUAGGUCUAGGUUUUGCUCGUUGUUGAGGUCGACGAUGGAGCUUCGAGGGCCGGGAGUGGUGGCCGCGAUGGCGCUGCUCCGACGGCGAUUUUUGUCUCUCGCCGGUGAGGAGGGUGUUCCCUGCAUCUUGUCCGCGCGAAGAUUUUGGGAGGUUGUCGGUGCUGCCGGCGAUCGUGGAUCUCGUUUUCCGACUGUUGGUGUGGCGGCCGUCGGGGCGGAUUGUUUUCUUUCUUCCUUCCUUCUUGCUGUUUGGGUGGUUGGUGGCCUUCUUUGUGUUGCUUUUUCCGCGGAUUGGAGCUCUGGGGCAAGAGGAGGCGUAGGGAGGAGCCAUAUCGGAAGAUGCUGAUGGUCGUGUUCACUUCCCGAGGAUUUCUUGCAGUCUUUCAAUGUUUGAAGUCAGUUCUUCAUUGUGGAGGAAAGCGGAAGCGGGUUGGGGGCUUCGGUUCGUGCUACUGCGACCAGAUGGCCGUCGUCACUUGGAACGGAGGAGGAAGAUGAACAGUUCCGUUGGCAGGGACCUGGUUGUAAUUUUCUUUUUCUUUAGGGUUUUUCCUGCAAGAAAGGGUUGUACUGUGCUA